UGAAAGGAUAUAUGGCUGUGUACACCUUUGU
rnacentral:piRNA from 1 species